UGAAAGAACCAUUUUAUUGCUGACUUUUCAUCUUACAAUUAAAAUGCACUUUUGAAAAUAACUAGUUACACAAUACAACCACUUUCAAACAGGGAAGAAAGUCAACACCAUUGUACUUAACUAUUAAUGUUCUUUCCAGCAGAUUGUCCCACUCACAGUGUACUGACUUAGAGCCAUAUUCUACUCGGUGUGUGUAAAAACUCUCUCAUUCACUGAUGUGAGUGUGUACCAAACAAGGGCAGAAUCUGCUUCCAAGACCGAUACAUGCACAGUAUUUUCCAUUAAUUGCAACACUGCAACUUCCCCAAGCCAUCAUGUUGAGAGAAUGUUUAAAAAAUUCCUUUUUUUUUUUUUUUUAAAAGAGGGCAAAACAAAAAACAGCCCCAAACUCUCAAAAUCUAAAACUGAGUUUUGCCAGCAAAACAUUAAACUGCUAGAAAUCAUUUUAAGAAAUUUUUAGGGAUUGUUUGUAUUAUUUUAGCAAUUCUGCCUGUAAGUUUAAAAGGAAAAAGGACUUAGCAGAUGAGGUCAAUAACAGACUUCCAGAAUAAGACAUUGUGGGCUGCGUUAGCAUGCUAACAGGAAACUGCUCGGUCUGGACUUAAUCAAGAGGCCAUCUCUUCACUGACAUAACCAGGCUACCCAAAGGCAAGAGAGUUUUAAUGCUUGCUUUUGUGCAGUCUGCUCAGAGGAAUAGUGCUAUUAAAAGAUGUUCCUAAAGCUCUUUGCAAAUUUUGACAGUGGCACACAGUGAUCACUGUUACAUGGUACCAAUUAAAGCCACCCGAAGUUUUGCACCAUUCUGUGCAUCAGAACAACAGAAAAGGCUCUCCACUGCCUUCUGUUCAUCUCCUUCAACAACAUGUCCAGAACUCUAACAAAGAUGCUAGACCGCAACAUCUCAGGGCUUCAGUAAGAUUUUCUUGGUCCUCCACAAGGCUGACCAUAAACAAACAGAAAUGGCAUUUUACAGCCCGAGUUUUUCAUAUUUUUAAAGUCUUAUUUGGAUUUUUCAGUCCACGGAGCAUAGCUUUGAUAAUCUGCAAGCGUAAUGAGCAAACGUAUCAGCAAACAGUUUCCAACCAGAUAGACAGCAUCUUUCAAAAGCAAGCGUAGAAAGAUUGAACUGAGGUCUAAUCUUGCAAGUCCUUGGUUUUUUGAGGUUGUGCAGGUACUGAUGAUCUAGUGUAAUUCUAAUAUCUUUACUAAUCCUCUGCAAUGCUGGACCUUCAGAGGGGCACACUCUCUUUUAAGGCGAUCAUUUUGCAGCUACGCAGCACAAAACAUUACCCAUGUACACAGCUCUUGCUGAAACACGAGAGCUCCAUGCAGACUAAAACACAUUCAGGAUGAAAAGUUCCUUCAAGCACAAACUGACUCCAACACCAGCUGCAGAUGCUCUGUACUGAAGGAGCUAUAAUUUGGUUCCAAGCUGGUUCUAAUCAAGGGCCUGACCUUGUCCCAUACAGGCUGCCUCCUGAACCCACACUCAGUCUCACUGGCUCACCAAGGCAUUGUGAAAGUGCAAGAUAGCCACACACACAAUUGCAGGAUGAGGAAAAGAUAUGAGUAUCAGCAUAAUAUCCAACAGAUGUCUUCUCUCUGCAAUGGCCACCAACACAGGGCUUGAGGAAGCAGGCCCUAAAUUACAAGCAGCUCGUUACCAACAUAGCUGGCUACUAGGUGUGUAAAAGCAAGACUCCUUUGCGAAUCCGGUGCGACACUGCGUGCAACCUCCGAUAAGCUAAAAUACAGAUCUGUAUUCCACAGCCUCAUGGGCCAUAGGUACAAAUGCUACCUGUUGACAUUCAAUGGGAUUAUAAAUUAAAAACUCCACCAUCUCCUAAAUUAACAAUACAGCCCAGCAAGAGGGAGGAGAGACUCAAGAUUAAAACAAAAUAGUUCAAAUUCCAAAUGGUACAAAAGUAGGCUGCUACCCAAAUAAAAACACAGAAUUGUAGCCACUAUUUCAUCAAUAUCACUGGAAGCAAUUGCUUUUCCCAAAAACCCCCACUGGUUUGCAGGUUUUUUCCAACGCAAAUAUUAUCUGUUGAGAUUCUGAAAGCAAGAAUUGUGGAAUGAAACCAAUGGAAUAGUUUUUCAUUAGGCAGACUGGAAAAAAGUACUGAAAGAAAAUAAUUAGGAUGAAGAAAUAAAUGAGAUAUCAAAUAUUCUUCAGCCUUAGUCAUUUAGAACAUUACCACUUUACUAAAGACUUGUUUUAUUUAGAAAUUCUGCACAAUUAUUUUCAAGAUAGUGAACCUAGUGUCUCUGCAACACAAUUUCUACCUGAUUUUGACAGAUUUUCAAAUGCUUUUGCCUUGCCUUGAAACUUACAGCUUUUCCAGAUGGGGAGUUUUCCACUCUAGCUAUUUUUAUUAACUUCAUGGACAGAUACCCUGUGCUGGAAUAAAACUGCCUAAAGUGCAGUAACUUAUAAUUUAUCUAAAAAUAAGGCACUCUAAUCAAGAAUGACUGUUUCAUUUCACUGUUUGCCUAACUGUGAAAAUGGGAAUCACCUUUAACCUUCGGAAAGUGGGAAUAAGAUUUUUUUGUCAUUUUGCUCUUAUUAUUUGGAUAUUGCUUCCUUACAGACAGAGGCUGUCUAGCAUAAGCCUUUAAUUAACUAUACUCAUCCUUGGAAGGGUGAAUGGGGUAGAAGGGAAGGGGAAAAAAGUAAAAAAAUCAAAUGAUGGAAUGAGUGAGCUUCAAAAGCUCCAGAAAUAAAAGCAUCUAUAAUGCCAGAUGUAAUAUCUGAGAGAGGCAAAACCUCCAUUUAACAUGCAGUAACACAUCACUAAAAGAAAGUAGCAGGACAGAUGAAACAGAAAAGUUGUUUGAAGAACAACCAGAUUCCAUAGCAAAAACCCCACAGAAAAGAGCAGUGACAGGACUGAGCUUAUCGAAUGAAGUCAGAAGUAUUUCAACUGUUGCUAGGGUAGGCCCCCAGCUAUACACAUCCAUGCUUCCUCUUGCAAUCAGUUCUGCAAUGCUAGCAGUAUUUAAGAGCCUUGCAUCCCAUCACUGUCCUUGUGCUCCACUCUGCAGAACUGCCAGCCUCAAAAACAGUUUGCAUGAGAUAGGACUCAAUUUGAAGCAGAAUUUCCAGUCUAGGAAACGGUGGCUUGAAAUGCAGAAUUCGGGUGGCCAGAGGUAGCAUCUCCUGCUGCCUGCAGACUCCAGGCAGCGUAGACGCUUGCCUUUGCAAGAGUGUCUCCUUUUAUCAUACGGUGCACUUGGAAAUAAAACCACUACGGAGCUCUCUCCACUUCAUGAAUUCCCAUUUCCUCAUUUUGGAUGCUGCUGAAAAAUCAGAAUUCUGCAUGUUGACUGCACCCAUCUCAGAAGCCAGAACGACUUUAUGACUUUUCCUAUGACCUGACAGCUACGGGUAUUCCUGGAUUUCCAAAUCUCCACCUUUUUCCUUUCCUUUCUUACCACAUAAAUAACCUUUCUUGGUAGCAACCCAGAGCUUCCAGGAUCAACCCUCAGAGCUCACAGCCUGGCUGGUAUCUGUCUGAAGAGCUGGCAAACAGUAAUAAAAUCUGUAGGUCAGAUUUAGAGGCUAAGGGAAAAAAAAAAAAAAAAAA
ensembl:lncRNA